AGAGUUUGAUCAUGGCUCAGAAUGAACGCUGGCGGCAUGCCUAACACAUGCAAGUCGAACGAAGGCUUCGGCCUUAGUGGCGCACGGGUGCGUAACGCGUGGGAAUCUGCCCUUGGGUUCGGAAUAACAGUGAGAAAUUACUGCUAAUACCGGAUGAUGUCGAAAGACCAAAGAUUUAUCGCCCGAGGAUGAGCCCGCGUAGGAUUAGCUAGUUGGUGAGGUAAGAGCUCACCAAGGCGACGAUCCUUAGCUGGUCUGAGAGGGUGAUCAGCCACACUGGGACUGAGACACGGCCCAGACUCCUACGGGAGGCAGCAGUGGGGAAUAUUGGACAAUGGGCGAAAGCCUGAUCCAGCAAUGCCGCGUGAGUGAUGAAGGCCUUAGGGUUGUAAAGCUCUUUUACCCGGGAUGAUAAUGACAGUACCGGGAGAAUAAGCCCCGGCUAACUCCGUGCCAGCAGCCGCGGUAAUACGGAGGGGGCUAGCGUUAUUCGGAAUUACUGGGCGUAAAGCGCACGUAGGCGGCUUUGUAAGUCAGAGGUGAAAGCCUGGAGCUCAACUCCAGAACUGCCUUUGAGACUGCAUCGCUUGAAUCCAGGAGAGGUGAGUGGAAUUCCGAGUGUAGAGGUGAAAUUCGUAGAUAUUCGGAAGAACACCAGUGGCGAAGGCGGCUCACUGGACUGGUAUUGACGCUGAGGUGC
rnacentral:rRNA from 1 species